rnacentral:rRNA from 1 species
UACAGAGGGGGCAAGCGUUGUUCGGAAUUACUGGGCGUAAAGGGCGCGUAGGCGGCCUGCUAAGUCGAACGUGAAAUCCCUGGGCUCAACCCAGGAACUGCGUCCGAUACUGGUUGGCUUGAAUCCGGGAGAGGGAUGUGGAAUUCCAGGUGUAGCGGUGAAAUGCGUAGAUAUCAAGUGGAACACCAGUGGCGAAGGCGAGUCUCUGGACAUUUCCUGACGCUGAGGCACGAAAGCCAGGGGAGCAAACGGG